rnacentral:rRNA from 1 species
CCUACGGGUGGCAGCAGUCGAGAAUCAUUCACAAUGGGGGAAACCCUGAUGGUGCGACGCCGCGUUGGGGAAUGAAGGUCUUCGGAUUGUAAACCCCUGUCAUGUGGGAGCAAAUUAAAAAGAUAGUACCACAAGAGGAAGAGACGGCUAACUCUGUGCCAGCAGCCGCGGGAAUACAGAGGUCUCAAUCCUUGUUCGGAAUCACUGGGCGUAAGGCGUGCGUAGACUGUUUCGUAAGUCGUGUGUGAAAGGUGCGGGCUCAACCCGCGGACUGCAAAUGAUACUGCGAGACUAGAGUAUUGGUGGGGGAACCGGAAUUCUUGGUGUAGCAGUGAAAUGCGUAGAUAUCGAGAGGAACACUCGUGGCGAAGGCGGGUUCCUGGACAUUAACUGACGCUGAGGCACGAAGGCCAGGGGAGCGAAAGGGAUUAGAUACCCGGGUAGUC